AGAGUUUGAUCCUGGCUCAGGACGAACGCUGGCGGCGUGCUUAACACAUGCAAGUCGAACGGUAAGGCCCCAGCUUGCUGGGGUACACGAGUGGCGAACGGGUGAGUAACACGUGGGUGACCUGCCCCGCACUUCGGGAUAAGCCUGGGAAACUGGGUCUAAUACCGGAUAGGACCGCACCGUGAGGGUGUGGUGGAAAGUUUUUCGGUGUGGGAUGGGCCCGCGGCCUAUCAGCUUGUUGGUGGGGUAAUGGCCUACCAAGGCGGCGACGGGUAGCCGGCCUGAGAGGGUGGACGGCCACAUUGGGACUGAGACACGGCCCACACUCCUACGGGAGGCAGCAGUGGGGAAUAUUGCACAAUGGGCGGAAGCCUGAUGCAGCGACGCCGCGUGGGGGAUGACGGCCUUCGGGUUGUAAACUCCUUUCACCAUCGACGAAUGUUUUCUGACGGUAGAUGGAGAAGAAGCACCGGCUAACUACGUGCCAGCAGCCGCGGUAAUACGUAGGGGUGCGAGCGUUGUCCGGAAUUACUGGGCGAAAAGAGCUCGGAGGUGGUUUGUCGCGUCGUCUGUAAAUUUCCCGGGGCCUAAACCCUCGGGGGCGGUGCAGGCGAAACGGGGCAUUACUUUGAGUGCUGUAGGGGGAGACUGGGAUUUCCUGGGUGUAGCGGUGAAAUGCGCA
rnacentral:rRNA from 1 species